AAAAUUUUAAGUUAAAAAAAAAACUAUUAAUUUUCAAAGUUAAAAAUAUUAAAAUUAAAAUAAAUUUUA
rnacentral:tRNA from 1 species